rnacentral:rRNA from 1 species
CGAGUCUUAACCGGGCGUUAAGUUGCAGGGUAUAGACCCGAAACCCGGUGAUCUAGCCAUGGGCAGGUUGAAGGUUGGGUAACACUAACUGGAGGACCGAACCGACUAAUGUUGAAAAAUUAGCGGAUGACCUGUGGCUGGGGGUGAAAGGCCAAUCAAACCGGGAGAUAGCUGGUUCUCCCCGAAAGCUAUUUAGGUAGCGCCUCGUGAAUUCAUCUCCGGGGGUAGAGCACUGUUUCGGCUAGGGGGCCAUCCCGGCUUACCAACCCGAUGCAAACUGCGAAUACCGGAGAAUGUUAUCACGGGAGA